GUAGUAAGGUAAGAAAGCACUUGUAACAGUUGUAGAGUCCGGCUUGUAAGUCAUUUGAAGUGUGUUUGCAAGAGCCAUAGAAUAAGGUAAGUAGGGCUAUUAGGAGUGAGCAAACAAGGGGACAAGUGCGCCCUAGGAAGCUGCUUUAGGGCAGGCUUGUAAACACUUUGAAAGCGAAAAUGAAAGGGCAUUAAAAAAAAGUAAAAACCACAGCACCCAGGAUUCCCGCGUGGUCCCCCACCGUGGUAC
rnacentral:rRNA from 1 species